GACGAGGGGUCCUAGCGUUGUUCGGAAUCACUGGGCGUAAAGCGUAUGUAGGCGGCUUAUCAAGUCAGGUGUGAAAUCCUGCGGCUUAACCGUAGAAUUGCAUUUGAAACUGAUGAGCUUGAGUAUUAGAGAGGGUGGUAGAAUUCCUGGUGUAGUGGUGAAAUACGUAGAUAUCAGGAGGAAUUCCGGUGGCGAAGGCGGCCGCCUGGCUAAAUACUGACGCUGAGAUACGAAAGCGUGGGGAUCAAACAGG
rnacentral:rRNA from 1 species